ACGAACGCUGGCGGCGUGCUUCACACCUGCAAGUCGCACGGAAAGGCCCUGCUUUUGUGGGGUGCUCGAGUGGCGAACGGGUGAGUAACACGUGAGUAACCUGCCCUUGACUUUGGGAUAACUUCAGGAAACUGGGGCUAAUACCGGAUAGGAGCUCCUGCUGCAUGGUGGGGGUUGGAAAGUUUCGGCGGUUGGGGAUGGACUCGCGGCUUAUCAGCUUGUUGGCGGGGUAGUGGCUUACCAAGGCUUUGACGGGUAGCCGGCCUGAGAGGGUGACCGGCCACAUUGGGACUGAGAUACGGCCCAGACUCCUACGGGAGGCAGCAGUGGGGAAUAUUGCACAAUGGGAGGAAGCCUGAUGCAGCAACGCCGCGUGCGGGAUGACGGCCUUCGGGUUGUAAACCGCUUUCGCCUGUGACGAAGCGUGAGUGACGGUAAUGGGUAAAGAAGCACCGGCUAACUACGUG
rnacentral:rRNA from 1 species